AAUAAGCGGGAGCUGGGACGAAAGGCCAAGUGCGUAGUGAGCAUGAAGGGAAAUAUCACCACGGUCACCAACCCUGAUGACUCGGCCGAUGUCAAGUCCUUCACCUACGACUACUCUUACUGGAGCUUUGACGGCUGCAAGGAGGAGCCCAAUGGCUACUUUGCCAAGCAGUCACCCAACUCCAAAACACGGUGUACAAUGAUCUGGGAGGUGGAGUCUUAGCAAACGCCUGGGCUGGUUAUAACUCCACACUGUUCGCUUAUGGGCAGACAGGCUCGGGAAAAUCUUAGUCUCUCAUUGGAUAUGGAUCCAAUAAAGGAAUCGUGCCAUUGUUCUGUAACGAUUUAUUUAAUGGCAUCACACAAAACACAGAGGAGAAGGAGUUUGAAGUGAGGUUCAGCAUGUUGGAGAUCUACAAUGAGGUAGUUCAUGACCUGCUCAACCCCACCAAGAGCAAGAAAGGCCUCAAGGUCCGCCAACACCCGAAGAAAGGCUUCUAUGCUGAAGGCCUCAAGCUGGCUCUGGUCACCAACUACAACGAAAUUGAGCAGAAGAUGAACGAGGGCACCGUCAACCGCACCAUCGCCUCCACCAACAUGAACGCCACCUCAUCCCGCGCCCACACCAUCGUUGGCAUCACCGUCAUACAGAAAUUCAAAAACAAUGCUGGACAAGAAACAGCAAAGCAGGCCGUUGUGAACUUGGUGGAUCUGGCUGGCAGGUGUGUGUGUGUGUGUGUGUGUGUGUGUGUGUGUGUGUGUGUGUGU